UCACCGCGUGCCUUAGUUGGAAGACUUAGAUGUCCACUAAAGUCACUAGGGUGCAUGCCAGAUGACAAGUGGGACAUGGUGUAUCAAUUGCGAAGGAAAUUCAAAAAUGGAGAAGAGAGCACUUGAAGAAGAAAUAAAAUACUUUGAG
ensembl:ncRNA C29E6.8 ncRNA